GAUAACUGACAAAAUAUCAGUAUGAUGUUUUACAGAUGAGAAUGAUUCUUUGGUAUAGCCUAUUGAAAUGAGGAAUAGGUCUGUUUAGUAUUUUAGUGGAUACUCUCUUUGUCAGAUAUUGUGUUACCCAAAGUGAAUCAAAAUGAGUAAGACUUUUCCCUUUGGGCCUAUUGCAGUAGAGGAGAUGAAUACAUUCUGUAACUAAACUGUACUUUCAAUAACAGGAGAAGGAAGGGUAUGAGAGAAGGCAAGACACAGACAGUAUUACAGAGAAAAUGACAUACAUAGACCCAAAAUGAAGAACAACCAUAAUAGGUAGAGGGAACAUCAUAAUCCAGGGCAGAAAUUGUGAAAGUUUAUAACAUGUUCUAGAGAGAGAGCAGUGUGGGCAGAGUUAGGAGUGAAAAAAACAGGUUUGAAAUAGAUUAGCAGGGUCCCAAAUGCCAUGUUGAAGAGUUUGGACUUUAUUUUCCAGAUAGUGUGUGAGCAUCAAAAGUAGAAGAGUGUUUUAAUUUCCUUGUCAUCCAUUCACAGGAUGGAUUCAAAUUUUGAGAUACCUAAACCAGAGAGAUUAGAUAAGAGGCAGUGAAAAUAUUUCAAAAAAGAAAUAACUAAGCCCCAAUGAAGACAGUAGACAUUAAAAUGGAAAAGAGAGUAGAUGCAUUAGAGAGACACUUCAGAGUUGGAAUCAAUAGAUUAUGUGAAUAGAUCAUGGAAAUGAGAAGGGUGGAAGAGUGGAAAAGUCACUGAUGACUCUAGAAUUUUUGUUCCACUAACUACCAUGAGUUGUAACAAAGGAAGGGAGGAGGUUUUGGAAAAGGGAGAAAGGUAGUGAGUUUCACUUCAAACAGAAUGAAGACCAUGCAGAUGGAAAUAUUUCGAAGGUACCUUGAGACAAACACAUGGAUU
rnacentral:lncRNA from 1 species